GUGUACCACGCGUACACGCAGGUUCCGAGCGCGCCGUCCACAGCUAUCUGACGACUCUCGGCACGUUCUGUUAGCC
rnacentral:sRNA from 1 species